UUAAUAGUGUUGUGCACCUUGACAGGUGUAUAUGUGAACGGCUCACAGGGUUUUUCUGAAUCUGUAGGUCCAGGAUUUAUUUUUGAAAGGUCGUGCAGAAGACAUCUCCAUUAACCGGUAACAGAUGAAAUCGUUUGCUGCCGAGGUUCACGUGCAGAAGAGCGAAAAUGCUGCAAGUGGAUGAUAGAUAACAGCUCAAGACACAUGGUAUGAGGGUGCAGGUAAACUGUACAUAUGCAUCUGGAAAAAGU